GCGGACACACACUUUAGCACCAAGAGGAGACCUUCCUAGAGGAUUAGCAGGGGUCCCCAGCUGCAGAACCUCAGGAAAUAUCCCUUGGAGGGGCGGAGACAAGAAGUUGGCAGCGAUGAAUUAAAAUUGAUGGAAGAAGAUCCAUGGUUACCUAUAUCAGAGCUAGCGGCUGAAACUGUGAAAAUCUUUGAUAAAUGGGUGCCCCAUGAGUUGCCUGGAUCAUACAAACAAAUAUGCUUCGACGCCUGUGUUACAUUACUGUCAGCCAUUGCAAACCUUAUUGGCAAAAACUAGCCACUAAUCAACCAAGAAUGUUUCAGUCGAGCCCAUCCCUUAUACUUUAUCCUCCGUACGACAGCCGGCUAAUUUAGAAGUGUGAGUAGAAUGCAUAAUAUAUUACCACUGUUUUCCAAACUUGAACAAUCUUCUGCAAGAAGAAAGGUUUAAUUCCAAUGAGGCAAUUUAAAUUCAAAUAGAAACUCACCCUUGAACAUUUUAUUCAUUCUCGGUCCCAUACCAAUUUUAUCAGUCUCGACUGAAAAAUCUUUUUUUUUUGCUAUUCCGUCAUCUCAUGGCUUGUGUCUCGUUUCCUUGAUAUUUAUAUGUCAACUAAGGUUUGAAAAUGUGAUAAUACACUAGUAAAUAUUUACUAUACAUACUUA